UACGUAGGGUGCAAGCGUUGUCCGGAAUUAUUGGGCGUAAAGAGCUCGUAGGCGGUCUGUCGCGUCGGAUGUGAAAAACCCAGGGCUCAACCUCGGGCCCUGCAUUCGAUACGGGCAGACUAGAGUUCGGUAGGGGAGACUGGAAUCCUGGUGUAGCGGUGAAAUGCGCAGAUAUCAGGAGGAACACCGGUGGCGAAGGCGGGCAU
rnacentral:rRNA from 1 species